GCAGUGAGGAAUAUUGGACAAUGGGCGGGAGCCUGAUCCAGCCAUGCCGCGUGCAGGAAGACGGCCCUAUGGGUUGUAAACUGCUUUUACAGAGGAAGAAACACCCCGACGUGUCGGGACUUGACGGUACUCUGCGAAUAAGGAUCGGCUAACUCCGUGCCAGCAGCCGCGGUAAUACGGAGGAUCCAAGCGUUAUCCGGAAUCAUUGGGUUUAAAGGGUCCGUAGGCGGGACAAUCAGUCAGCGGUGAAAGUCUGUGGCUCAACCAUAGAAUUGCCAUUGAUACUGUUGUUCUUGAAUACUUAUGAAGUGGUUGGAAUAUGUAGUGUAGCGGUGAAAUGCAUAGAUAUUACAUAGAACACCGAUUGCGAAGGCAGAUCACUAAUAAUUUAUUGACGCUGAUGGACGAAAGCGUAGGUAGCGAACAGGAUUAGAUACCCUGGUAGUCUACGCCGUAAACGAUGGUUACUAGCUGUUCGGUCGCAAGACUGAGUGGCUAGCGAAAGUAUAAGUACCCACUGGUGAUCAGUUUU
rnacentral:rRNA from 1 species